UGCGUAGGCGGACUAAUAAGUCAGUGGUGAAAUCUCUCGGCUCAACCGGGAAACUGCCAUUGAUACUGUUAGUCUUGAGUUCGGUUGAGGUAGGCGGAAUGUGUAAUGUAGCGGUGAAAUGCUUAGAUAUUACACAGAACACCAAUUGCGUAGGCAGCUUACUAGACCGACACGGACGCUGAGGCACGAAAGCGUGGGUAGCGAACAGGAUUAGAUACCCUGGUAGUCC
rnacentral:rRNA from 1 species